UUAAAAAACUGAGUUAAUUUUAAUUAAAAAUCCCACUACUAGAGAGCUUCAAAUCCGCACAGAUCUCUCUGUUUCGGAGCAGCUUCACACGCUCCAAAGCUCAUCACCGAUCGAUUCUUCCAAUGCUCCUCCUCCUCUUCUAAACCAUCUAGCAAAACUCUCGCAUCACUCAUGGGUUUGCUUUCAAACCCUACCCGUUUGGUUCUCAUCUCCACCAUCUUCUGCUUCAUCUUCGUUUCUUCCAUCUCCGCUCAGGAUUCGGUGGUUGAGAAUGAGAGACAAGAAUCAGAAGGAUCUGGUAAAGAGCUUGGUCGUCGUGGAAUGGUAAAUUUUUUUAAAUC